GCUGACUCCUCAGUUAACUUUGACGGACCGUGAAACAACGGCUAAGAUUCCUCAGUAAGUAAUGCAACACUAGAAGUCCUAUUUGGAUGGGAAGAGACAGUGGACGCCGAUUGGGGACCGCAGGACACUUGUGAAAAGGUGAAGAGCCAAGUGUGAAACAAACAGGCGUAGACUAUAAGGAAUACAAAGCAGUGAAAUGCAGGAAGGAAUGCAUGUGUGGAGGGAUGAACCAUGUGAUCAAGGCACCUUGUGAUGGUCCUGCAGCUCGAUCUCUGUGUAUAAAGGGCCGUGUUUACUGAUAAAUUCAGAGAGGUGCAGUGCGCUCUCCUUGGAACUGAAAUGAUUACUGUUCUUCAUGGCUGCUUGUUUCUUGGAGGUUAACUGUAACAAAGGCCGGUAAUAUCUGGCUGGGUGUGGUGAUCCUGAUGUGCCAGUUCUAUAAAUAUUCUGCCAACUUGUUUCAGUUUUGGGUGCAGCAGCAGCACCUGAGGCAGACACACCUGUUCCCUCAUAUCUGGAGACACUCUGAAUUAUAGGAUACAAAGGAAAAUAUCGUAAACCUCCUGUUGAGUAGCCACAAAAAAGC